AUGAACGCUGACAGAAUGCUUAACACAUGCAAGUCGCUGGGGAAGUGGUGCUUGCACCAUGGUAACCAUGGCGGACGGGUGAGUAACGCGUAAGGAACUUGCCUGCGGGACUGGGAUAACAGCAGGAAACUGCUGAUAAUACCGGAUAAGGUCAUUAAGCUGCAUAGCUUAGUGAUGAAAGGAGACGCCUGCGGAGAGCCUUGCGUCCUAUUAGCUAGUUGGAGGGGUAACGGCCCACCAAGGCGAAGAUAGGUAGCCGGCCUGAGAGGGUGGACGGCCACAAGGGGACUGAGAUACGGCCCUUACUCCUACGGGAGGCAGCAGUGGGGAAUAUUGGACAAUGGGGGCAACCCUGAUCCAGCAAUUCUGUGUGCACGAAGACGGUUUUCGGAUUGUAAAGUGCUUUCAGCAGGGAAGAAGGAAGUGACGGUACCUGCAGAAGAAGCGACGGCUAAAUACGUG
rnacentral:rRNA from 1 species